GAUGAACGCUGGCGGCGUGCCUAAUACAUGCAAGUCGAGCGAACGGACGAGAAGCUUGCUUCUCUGAUGUUAGCGGCGGACGGGUGAGUAACACGUGGAUAACCUACCUAUAAGACUGGGAUAACUUCGGGAAACCGGAGCUAAUACCGGAUAAUAUUUUGAACCGCAUGGUUCAAAAGUGAAAGACGGUCUUGCUGUCACUUAUAGAUGGAUCCGCGCUGCAUUAGCUGGUUGGUAAGGUAACGGCUUACCAAGGCAACGAUGCAUAGCCGACCUGAGAGGGUGAUCGGCCACACUGGAACUGAGACACGGUCCAGACUCCUACGGGAGGCAGCAGUAGGGAAUCUUCCGCAAUGGGUGAAAGCCUGACGGAGCAACGCCGCGUGAGUGAUGAAGGUCUUCGGAUCGUAAAACUCUGUUAUUAGGGAAGAACAUAUGUGUAAGUAACUGUGCACAUCUUGACGGUACCUAAUCAGAAAGCCACGGCUAACUACGUG
rnacentral:rRNA from 1 species